UACGUAGGGGGCAAGCGUUGUCCGGAUUUAUUGGGCGUAAAGAGCGUGUAGGCGGUUAGGUAGGUCCGUUGUGAAAACUCGAGGCUCAACCUCGAGACGCCGAUGGAAACCAUCUGACUAGAGUCCGGAAGAGGAGAGUGGAAUUCCUGGUGUAGCGGUGAAAUGCGCAGAUAUCAGGAGGAACACCGGUGGCGAAGGCGGGUCUCUGGGCCGAUACUGACGCUGAGGAGCGAAAGCGUGGGAGCGAACAGG
rnacentral:rRNA from 1 species